AUGGGAGUUGUAGUGAGGGUCUGAUAAUAGUGGGUGCAGGUGAAUUAUGGGAGUUGUAGUGAGGGUCUGAUAAUAGUGGGUGCAGGUGAAUUAUGGGAGUUGUAGUGAGGGCUGAUAAUAGUGGGUGCAGGUGAAUUAUGGGAGUUGUAGUGAGGGUCUGAUAAUAGUGGGUGCAGGUGAAUUAUGGGAGUUGUAGUGAGGGCUGAUAAUAGUGGGUGCAGGUGAAUUAUGGGAGUUGUAGUGAGGGUCUGAUAAUAGUGGGUGCAGGUGAAUUAUGGGAGUUGUAGUGAGGGCUGAUAAUAGUGGGUGCAGGUGAACUAUGGGAGUUGUAGUGAGGUCUGAUAAUAGUGGGUGCAGGUGAAUUAUGGGAGUUGUAGUGAGGGCUGAUAAUAGUGGGUGCAGGUGAAUUAUGGGAGUUGUAGUGAGGGCUGAUAAUAGUGGGUGCAGGUGAACUAUGGGAGUUGUAGUGAGGGCUGAUAAUAGUGGGUGAAGGUGAAUUAUGGGAGUUGUAGUAAGGGCUGAUAAUAGUGGGUACAGGUGAAUUAUGGGAGUUGUAGUGAGAGCUAAAAAUAGUGGGUGCAGGUGAAUUAUGGGAGUUGUAGUGAGGUCUGA